CAGAGUAGAGAUUUGUGCGUGAAGUGCCCAAUGAACGGGGAGUUGUCGUUGGGACGAAAGGUUAACCUGCGGUACAAAUUUCGCAUCCCGCUGU
rnacentral:ncRNA from 1 species